UACGUAGGGCGCGAGCGUUGUCCGGAUUUAUUGGGCGUAAAGAGCUCGUAGGUGGUUCGUCGCGUCUGUCGUGAAAGCCAGCAGCUUAACUGUUGGUCUGCGGUGGGUACGGGCGGGCUUGAGUGCGGUAGGGGAGAUUGGAAUUCCUGGUGUAGCGGUGGAAUGCGCAGAUAUCAGGAGGAACACCGAUGGCGAAGGCAGGUCUCUGGGCCGUUACUGACGCUGAGGAGCGAAAGCGUGGGGAGCGAACAGG
rnacentral:rRNA from 1 species